UGCUCUGCUAUGGGUGAUGAAUGCGAUGCAUAUAUUUUCACCUCCUUGAUCCUGGACCUGGCAUUCCAGCCAAGAAAUCGAUUCUAUCUCCGACGCUGGCCAUGAAAAACCCGAUCUACGCCGACUGUAUCCGGGCGCAUUCAAAAGAGGGAGAUUCAGGUUGAAAUAUAUCCCUUCGAAUGGAACGACCGGUUUUCUUUUAUAAAAAAGGGAACUUUCUUCCUAUUGCCUUUUUAGCUCAAGGAAUGGUAUCUAGAUUUUGGAGACGGUGGGCUGGUGCUGGUUGAGAGAUUUCAGCAACUAAAAAGUUCCACCUCGCCACCUCGCUGUAUCUGUCGUUUGAUUUCACCCACACAACCUGAAAGCACCAGAAAAUCAGUUCAGAGGAAAGCAAACUCGAAGGGCUCUGGGUGAGUGGCACAUUUCAAGUGAGACUGUAUUGGCCAAGCGCCCAAACUUAGUAAGGUUGUGAAGAGGCAGCGGUCAAGGGCAUGAGUAUGGUCACAAGCAGGACAGAAAAUGAGUUAGAAAUACUAGGCAGAGGAGUACAAUAAAUGUCUACUAUUAAACAAAACUCCCCAAGGACCGGGAGCAACGACAACCUGUUCAAGUUCCAUCUAAUUCCCCCUGGAUGGGCGAGAAGAAAUUGACGGUCGAGUUAUAGGCUACCACCACAACCCUCUUACAUGUCCCAUAUAUUUGACUAUUAUUAUGCGCAUACACUACCCCCUGAGUGUUGUCGACGACGAGCUAAAUAUUCUGGGUGUCAGUGACCUUGAUUCAACAAGAGACGGUAUUGACCGCACUGUCGCAAACCGAAGCUCCAUCCCA
rnacentral:sRNA from 2 species